CCAAACUUACACACUGAAUCUUGUCCUGUUCAUCAAUUGCAGAGCCACAUCAAGAAUGAAUCCACAAGUUACAUAGCUACUUCAAUUAGAAAUAUCAAAAAAUAAAUCUAGUAGAACCCACUUAUCAACAACCAAACAAGGAUGAUACCAAAAAUUCACAACAAUAGCCCCAAUAACAUGAAAUUCAAGAACCCCAAUUCUCAAAGUAAAACUUGUUCUAGAUUACCCACCAAAAAUC
rnacentral:lncRNA from 1 species